GAACAGACAAAGCGAGCUAUUUUGGAGAACUAUCCCUAAGAGGCCAGGUGUGGUGGCUCACACCUUAUAAUCCCAACGUUUUGGGAGGACAAGGCAGGAGGAUCACUUGAGGCCCGGAGUUCAAGACCGGCCUGAACAACAUAGCGAGACCCUAUCUCUACCAUAAAAAAGGUAAGAAAUGGCCCUAAGGCAAUCCUAUAUUGUCAGAGGGGGCCGUGCUGGGAGAAGCAGCCCAUGCUUCUCAGCCGGGCUGUCUGGGAGAUGCUGCGUCUGCCUGACCAUUUC
rnacentral:lncRNA from 10 species